rnacentral:pre_miRNA from 1 species
AUUUUGUAGUGCAGAAGAUCCUCGGCAGUUAACUGCAGCCGGAUUUGAGAAAAUUUCGGCAGUUAACUGCCGAAGAAAACUGUCGAAGAAAACC